rnacentral:miRNA from 1 species
CUGUCACACAAACAACCUUUUUGUCUUAAUACUUCAUAUUGAAAGUAUUAAGAAAAAAAGGUUGUUUGUGUGACA